rnacentral:piRNA from 1 species
UAGCUGUAAAGUGAGUGCCUUGGUCAG